rnacentral:rRNA from 1 species
CGUGUAGGCGGCUUGUUAAGUCGGGUGUGAAAGCCCUGGGCUCAACCCAGGAAGUGCGCCCGAAACUGGCGAGCUAGAGUACGGGAGAGGGUAGUGGAAUUCCCGGUGUAGAGGUGAAAUUCGUAGAUAUCGGGAGGAACACCAGUGGCGAAGGCGGCUACCUGGACCGAUACUGACGCUGAGACGCGAAAGCGUGGGUAGCAAACAGGAUUAGAUACCCUGGUAGUCCACGCCGUAAACGAUGAGUGCUAGGUGUUGCGGGUAUUGACCCCUGCAGCGCCGCAGCUAACGCAUUAAGCACUCCGCCUGGGGAGUACGGCCGCAAGGCUAAA